rnacentral:lncRNA from 1 species
GGGGGUGACAGCCAGGCCCAGGUGCUGGGCAGGUACAGAGGGCAGGGCUGUUGCUGAACUCGAGCGAUCUGAAGUGCCAGACACAGGGCCAGGGGUCCAAAACACAAAACAAACGCAAAGGCACCCCCAGAGGAAAAGCCCAGAGUCUAAAUUUUAAACAGGAAGAAGCAGGCGUCGGGCUCCGAGGAAGAUAACAGGCCCAGGAGGGAACACAGCAACAGCGGAGUGCAGAGCAGGCCUGGGGAGGGCAGGGCGUCCAUGCUGAGCCGCCUGCCUGGCUCCAGGUGCCAGGCCUGGGCUCUGCCCACCACACAGAGGGCCCCAGCCGGCCAGACAUGGGGACACUCCCAGGUCCCUGUCCCCAGCCUCCAGCAGGGGGAGUGCUCAGAGGGCCCCAGGAUCACUUGGAUGGGGGACGAGAAGGCCAGUGCCCCACGGAAAGCGAGACCCACUGCCCUGAGCCCCUCCUCUUCUGCCACCCUUGGCCUGGAUGUUGAAGAUGGAACUAAGGGCCUCUUGCCUGUUGGGGAGCACCCCAGCCACGACCUUCGGACCAAAACCUUGACAAUGACCAGAGAUUGCUUCACAGUGAGAAAAUACUUUCAAAAUUAUAAACUUAGUACCAAUCACGCUUUGAGAAGAAGCAAGAUAUAUCAUGUACAGGUGUAAAUCCCCUAUAAUGAAUGUUAUCAUUAUGUAUAUCUAAAAUGUAUCAAUAAAUGUUUUGCUUUAAAAGAAAAAAAAGAAA